rnacentral:rRNA from 1 species
GGACGGGUGAGUAAUGCCUAGGAAAUUGCCCUGAUGUGGGGGAUAACCAUUGGAAACGAUGGCUAAUACCGCAUGAUGCCUACGGGCCAAAGAGGGGGACCUUCGGGCCUCUCGCGUCAGGAUAUGCCUAGGUGGGAUUAGCUAGUUGGUGAGGUAAGGGCUCACCAAGGCGACGAUCCCUAGCUGGUCUGAGAGGAUGAUCAGCCACACUGGAACUGAGACACGGUCCAGACUCCUACGGGAGGCAGCAGUGGGGAAUAUUGCACAAUGGGCGCAAGCCUGAUGCAGCCAUGCCGCGUGUGUGAAGAGGGCCUUCGGGUUGUAAAGCACUUUCAGUCGUGAGGAAGGUAGUGUAGUUAAUAGCUGCAUUAUUUGACGUUAGCGACAGAAGAAGCACCGGCUAACUCCGUGCCAGCAGCCGCGGUAAUACUGAGGGUGCGAGCGUUAAUCGGAAUUACUGGGCGUAAAGCGCAUGCAGGUGGUUUGUUAAGUCAGAUGUGAAACCCCGGGGCUCAACCUCGGAAUUGCGUUUGAAACUGGUAAACUAGAGUACUGUAGAGGGGGGGUAGAAUUUCCCGUGUUGCGGUGAAAUGCGUAGGGAUCUGAACGAGUACCGGUGCCCCAUGCGCCCCCCUGGACCUACACUGACACUCAGAUGCGAAAGCGUGGGGAGCCAAUCCGAUCAGAUACCCUGCUAGUCCACUCCGUAAACUAUGUCUACUUCCAGGUAGUGGCCUUCCCUCCUCGGCAUUCUGAUCUAACGCCUUUAAUAAAACUCCUGGGGAGUACGCCCGCGGUAUUAAAUCUCAUAUAUUAAACACGGGCGCGCACAUCCUGCGAGCAUGUUGUUUAUUCAUGCACCCCCCCUAUCUUACCCUCGCUUGGACGUGCAGUAGAUCUGU